GGCCUAACACAUGCAAGUCGAGCGGUAGAGAGAAGCUUGCUUCUCUUGAGAGCGGCGGACGGGUGAGUAAUGCCUAGGAAUCUGCCUGGUAGUGGGGGAUAACGUUCGGAAACGGACGCUAAUACCGCAUACGUCCUACGGGAGAAAGCAGGGGACCUUCGGGCCUUGCGCUAUCAGAUGAGCCUAGGUCGGAUUAGCUAGUUGGUGAGGUAAUGGCUCACCAAGGCGACGAUCCGUAACUGGUCUGAGAGGAUGAUCAGUCACACUGGAACUGAGACACGGUCCAGACUCCUACGGGAGGCAGCAGUGGGGAAUAUUGGACAAUGGGCGAAAGCCUGAUCCAGCCAUGCCGCGUGUGUGAAGAAGGUCUUCGGAUUGUAAAGCACUUUAAGUUGGGAGGAAGGGCAGUUACCUAAUACGUGAUUGUUUUGACGUUACCGACAGAAUAAG
rnacentral:rRNA from 1 species